rnacentral:tRNA from 1 species
CAGAGCGUAGUUCAAUUAGUAAAACACCUCCCUUACACUGAGGAAGUACCCGUGCAAAUCGAGUCGCCCUGA